rnacentral:rRNA from 1 species
GACGGGGGGUCCUAGCGUUGUUCGGAAUUAUUGGGCGUAAAGCGUGUGCAGGUUGUUUAAAAAAGUUAGAUGUGAAAUCCUUGGGCUCAACCCAAGACGUGCAUUUAAAACUGUUAGACUUGAGUAUGGAAGAGGGUCGUGGAAUUCCAGGUGUAGUGGUGAAAUACGUAGAUAUCUGGAGGAACACCGGUGGCGAAGGCGGCGACCUGGUCCAAUACUGACACUCAUACA